AGGUACUUUCAGUUUUCAUCAGCAAUGCAGAGGAAGUUGAGGGGUUGCAAAGGGAGUUGCCUCUGAUCCUUUUGUUAUUUGGGUGUGGAGAGGUGGGCUUUUCUUUUUGAUUCAGUUCUAGGAAGUCGGCGUGAAUCAGCUUUAGGUUCCCUGCCUCCAGACCCUACUCUCCUGCCUCAAUAGCCAUGCCCGGUUAGUGUUAACUGUAACUCCCUGCUGGUCUGCCUCCUGCUAGGAGGGACGGAACAUCAAAUCACUCGCAUCGAAUUACUCAGCAGGCCCAUCGUCGCCUAACUCUGUGAGCUUUCAGCCACACCCCGGAUCAGUCAGAUCAACUGCUCAACUCGAAGGCAUCCUGACCAAAGCUCUUGCAGUCUGAGUAUUGGAAAGCCCAGCAGGAGCCUCUCCACGCAUUUCGAAUGCACCCUCCUCCAGCAAAGGUUGGUAAGUUGAAAAGACGGAAGGAUUUCAGAAGACUGGAAAUUGAAUCCCACACUCAGCUCCUCUUUGAAACUCUACAAUGAGUGCUUCAUUCCUUGGAUUUCAGCUUUUCAAAGAAAACAUCCCUAGAAGAAGGACAUCAGGGAUAGUCAUUUACCUUUCAAUGAGAAUGAAUUAUCCAGCCCUUGUCGGGACAGCGUUUGUGAGGCAGCAAAGCUCAAUGUUGAGAAGAGCCUGAAAGAAUGAUGGACUGACGCUGCCAAAAAGAGAAAGAGCAGGACCUUCACAGCUUUGCCUAAGGCCAUUAUGAAUUUGGACCAAAUAGGUGUUAUCAUCUACACAGGCAGGACCUCCUGGGUAGGGGGCUGCCACCUUUUCCAGGCACUUGGAAGGGUGGCCUCCAGCUGUGGAGCCACAGAACUAAAUAUUAUAGCUGGCCCAGGAACACCCCUUUAGGCUAGGGAAGGAAUAUAAUCCGGCUUCUUCUUCCUCUGACCCUGAGAUUUCGGCCAAGUCUCCAUUAGCGAUUGGCCUCCUAGGGUGUCAAACAGGGUGGACAAGUUUGGAGAAUGGAUCUGGGGUGGGGUGGGGAAUGGCAAAUGGAAAAAAAGCAGCACCAACUCUUUAUUGUCAUUCAGAGAAUGCUGAGGUCCGAGGCACAACCAGCCAGAAGGUUGCUUCAGCCUUUCACUGGAAAAGCCACGUUUUCCUCAGUUGUAUCCUGCACUUCGAGUGAGGCUCCUCCAAAUGCAGGACAGUAUCAUGACCCAGGCCGAGAAAGUAUGACUGCAAAAUUCCAUGGGCCUAACCCUAGUGGGGGAGGGAAUCCAUUCUUUUAAACCAGGGUUUAAAACUCUUCAAGCAAGUCAUCUGCAAAGGUACCCCUUCUACCGUUUUAAAGAUAGGAUUAUGUUUCCUAGGACAACUGGAUGAGCCCUAGGAACCAAGAACCCUGUGCAGUUGGGGCAGAAGCCUGAGGGUUGUUUUGUUCCCCCACAGCUGUAGGCCACAAGGUUCUUACACAAGCUUUGGGGUGGCCCCACCCCAUGCCAUUCCUUCCCCUCAGUCAGUGAUGACUCAAGAGGUUUUGGGAAGGAGCUCAGGGAACACUCAAGCAGCAGGCUCAGCUUAGGGCACUUCUGAUGCAUUUUCUAGAUAACAUUAGGAGCGGGUUCCAGACAGGACUCAGAAGUAUGGACAUUCACUCCCCAGGCUUGGUCUUCAGUGCCCUGUGAGUUCAGAAAUACACUAUCUAAAGGAGAUCUUUAGGAAGGAGAAGGAGAAGAGAGGAGAGGAGGGAAGGAGGGAAGGCAGGAAGGCAGGAAGGAAGGAAGGGAGGGAGGGAAAGAGAAAGAAAGAGGGAAGGAGUGAGAAAGGAAGGAAGGAGAGAGAAGAAAGAAGGAAAGAGAGAAAAGGAAAGAAAAAGAGAAAGAAAGAGAGAAAGGAAGGAA